rnacentral:rRNA from 1 species
GACGAACGCUGGCGGCGUGCUUAACACAUGCAAGUCGAGCGAGUGGAUUCCCUUCGGGGAUGAAGCUAGCGGCGGACGGGUGAGUAACACGUGGGCAACCUGCCUUAUAGAGGGGGAUAGCCUUCCGAAAGGAAGAUUAAUACCGCAUAAUAUCAGAUUAUCGCAUGGUAGACUGAUCAAAGGAGCAAUCCGCUAUAAGAUGGGCCCGCGUCGCAUUAGCUAGUUGGUGAGGUAACGGCUCACCAAGGCGACGAUGCGUAGCCGACCUGAGAGGGUGUUCGGCCACAUUGGGACUGAGACACAGCCCAGACUCCUACGGGAGGCAGCAGUGGGGAAUAUUGCAAAAUGGGGGAAACCCUGAUGCAGCAACGCCGCGUGAGUGAUGAAGGCCUUCGGGUUGUAAAGCUCUUUGAUCAGGGACGAUAAUGACGGUACCUGAAGAACAAGCCACGGCUAACUACGUGCCAGCAGCCGCAGUAAAAC